UCCAGUUGUAUCACACCCUGGGCUUAUCAGUUCAAUCAAAGGUCAGGCAGAAAGCUUCCUGGAGAGUUUUAUCUAAGCCAAUCAGCAUCAGGUUAACAUUCAUCUGUGUAGGAAAUUCAAAUGUAUGGAGAAGAAUCAUAUGUAAACAUGGCGGUUUCUGAAGCUCAUUUUGUGUGGAUCAACCUUUUCCCUAAUCAUUUAAAAAGAUGGCCAAUGUUGUGUCUGUGGCAAAGAUGAGAAUCCUGUUACCAAACAAGAUAGGAUGGGGAAAGUGGGAAAGCUAAAGAAAAUAAUGGUUGCGUCCCUGCUCAACCACAUGAUGACUGUUACAAAAGAAAUGCUGAAUGACCUACUAGACAGAAAACAAGGACCAAGCUGAAAAUCAUAUGAGCAUCACCAUUCACAGGCGGGAUUCAGUGACUGUGGAGAAAGUGA